CCAAGUUAAAACUUUACUGAUUUAUAAUCCUUCCUACAAGGAUUGUAUAUUUUAAAAAUCCAGCCAAUUUAGGAGAUUGAAAAUUUAAGAAGUUGUUUAUUUUGAAUGCAAAUACAAAAUGAAGAUUUUCUUCAACUUGUUAAUUAGUGAGGGAACCAGUAAAAUGGAGAAAACAGCCCAAAAAAGCAUUUGAGAAGCUAGAUAACAAGACAGUUUCAUAGAUUGCUGGGUUAGAUAAAAAUUUACUAAUUCAUAUCACUGUCAUAAGCUGUAAUCUUUUGGGGUUAGCUUUUCCACUGGUUAGAAAUUAUUUCUGUCUCUAUUUGGCACAUUAACCUCUGCCCCUAACAAGUUGUAAAAUAGCCCAGUAAUGGGAAGUCAUGCCCGUUACUGUUCUGAAAGAACACUCAAUUUUGCCUUUGCUAUUUCCAGAUUCCAGUGUCUGUUGAGUCUUCUGCCCAUUACUACUUGGAUUGCUAUUUCACUGUUGAGUUUGAAGAAGUAUUUAUCCUGGAUACAAGUCCUUGUCAGAUAAGAGAUUUGGAAAUUAUUUUUUCCAGUCAGUGUAUUCUUCCCUCGAUGAUUCCUUUUUUGACCUAUGAAUUGUUUAGAAGUGUGUUCUUUAAUACCCAACCAUUAGGAGAUUUUUCUUUUAUCUUUCCGUUAUUGCUGUCUAGCUGAUUACAUUAUGGUCAGAGAAAAUACUUUCAAUUUGUCAGUAUUCCAUUUCAUCUAUCUAUUGUUUUAAAAAUUUCUUAGUUAUUUUUUUAAUGAUUACACUAUACAUACAUAGUUUAUCACAGUCUAGUGGCAUCAACACUUCAUCAUUUAUGUGGAAUGUAGAUAUCUUACAACACCAAAGUCACUCUGCCCUCUCCUCUUUAUGAUAUAGUCAUCUUUAUUAUUACCACUACAUACACUGAGAAUGCUAUAAGCUUUGCUUCUGUCAAAAAUAAUUUCUAAAAUUCAUGCAAAGAAUAGUUUAUUACAGUUACCCCUUCUAUCACCCUUCUUUUUUCCUGUUGUGCUGAGUUUCCUUUUGUUACUAUUUUCUUCCUUUCUGAAUAGCAUCUUUCUAUUUUUUUCAGAAUAGGUCUGCUGCCAAGAAAUUACUUUAGCUUUUCUUCAUUUGAGUUGCCUUUAUUUCAUCUGCAAUCCUGAAGAAUGUUUUUGCUGGAUAUAAAGUUCUUGAUUGACAAUUCUUUUCUUUUAGUAUUGGAAAAUAAUGUGCCACUUCCUUCUGGCCUCUGGUUUCUGAUAAUAAAUCCUUUGUCGUUUGAAUCUUUGUUUUCCUGUGUUUCUCCUUAAUACUUUGAAGAUCUUUCUUUGCCUUUCAUUUUCAGAAGUUUGAUUAUGAUGUAUCCAGGUGUGUGUUUCCUUGGGCUUUAAACUGUUUUAUUGAAUUGGUAGGUUUAUGUCUUUUGCCUAAUUUGGAAAGGUUUCAUCCAUUAUUUCUUCAAAUAUUUUUUCAGCCCUGCUUUCUUUUUUCCUUUUUUCCAAACUCUGGUAAACUGAACAACAGAUCUGUUAUUCUUGUCCUGCAGGUCCCUGAGUCUCAGUUGAUUUUUUAAAAAGGUAUUUUUCUACUUUUCAAGUUAGAUAAGUAUUAUUGAAUUAUCUUCUAGUUUUCUGAUUUUUUAAAUUAUUAUCUCCAUUCAGUUUUUGUAUAUCUUAUAUCUGGAAAUAUUGUGAAACUCAUUACUUCUAGUAGCUCUUUUGUAGAUUCCACUGGAUUUUCUGUGUAGUCAAUCAUAUUAUCUUUUCUAUAUAGACAAUCAUUAUAGGCAAUAAACAUAUGCAGUUUUAUUUCUUCCUUUUCAAUUUGGAAGUUCUUUACUUAUGUUUCCUGCCUUAUUGCACUAGCUAAGAACAUUAUAAUAUUGAAUAGAAGUGGUAAGAGCAGACUUCUUUCUCUUGUUCCCUUUCUUAAGGGGAAAAUAUCUGAUGUUUCACCAUUUAACAUGAUAUUAGUCGUGGGUUUUUUUCUGUAGAUGUAUUUAUCAUGUUGAGGAAGUUUC